rnacentral:piRNA from 1 species
UAUGUAUCUGAAAACCAAAAGAAAUCC